UGUCUUAUCGGAUAAUCGAUAGUCUUCGAUAGUGAUUGUUAAAAGUGGCAACGCUUUGUUUUUUUUUGGCUGGGUGGCAAGUGAUUAGCCCACGGAUUUCUUUGCAUCUUUCUGUGUUUUCUUUUAAUAGUUUUUGGAGUUUUUCAAAAUUUCCAGCGAUGAGCAACGCGGAGACAACAACGAAUUUGUUUUCUACAGAAACCAUUCUGAAUGCGGUGGACGAGGAAGUGGAGAAGGCUUCAGCGGCUAGUAGGAGUAGGAUAUCGGCCGAAGAGGAAAUCCCGGAGAGCAAGGACCAGCCUGACACGGCUGAGGACGAGCUUAUCUCUAUGGAAACGCUACGCCCCUCGCCUGUCCAAUGGCCGGAGCGAUUUCCCGGAAUGGACGAGUUCCUCACCAUGAGCGACACGCCGAUCUACACGCGCAGCACGGACUACGCCAACAAUCUGACAAUGGAGGACAUGGCCAAGAUCAAUGAACUAGCCCAGCUCAGUCCCAAGCAGCUGAUCGAGAAUAUAAAGUCAAUGCAUGAUGAAAUUUACCAGCUGGGACUGCGUGAGGCAAAGGAGAUGACUCGUGGAAAGCUGCUGGGCAUCUUUGACCGGGAUCGUGUUCCUAAGCGGCAGCCUUAAGGCAGGAUGAUCCGAUCCCUGAAAAUGGGACUGCCAAGGAUCUCUUUGAAGUCGAAUUAGGAACAUAGGCGUAGUUUCAUAGUGUACAUAGUGCUAUUUUUAUACAUUUUGGGUCCUACGUCGCUUGUAUUACAGAUACAUUUGAUGAGUCGGAGGAGAGAUGAAGUUGAGGGAUUGGCAAGGAAUGCAAAAGGAUCAGGAGUUUUGGAGACGGAACAGUAGAUUUCGCUAUGCAGGGACAUUAACGCAACAAAUAACUCUGUCUAUGUGGGCUUGGAU